AGCAACACGUGCUGUUCACUGCUGCUAGCAUCUCUCCGGCACGUGGCUGCAACUACUCCAAUUUAUAGACAGGAACAGUAGAGAGUGUCCUUUACCGUGAUAGGAAUCUAUUGAGGUUGAGAGCAGAAAUGGGCACAAGGCAUUAAUCACCAGUUUUGAUCUCACCAUUCCUAGCAAGGCAAGUAUAUCAUCAGGUAAUAGUUGGGAUGCUUUGGUUUUUGAACCCUAAAUCUGAUGAACCUAUCCCACAGCUAUGUGUCUUUGUGAAAUUUAGAGUGUUUGCUAGGUUGCUUUUUUUUUUUCUCUCAAAGGUUUUAUCAAAACAUCUCUCUCUAACUUGAAGUUACUCUAAGGCUUUGUUUCAGCUACGAUACACAACAAAAUCAGUGAAUUCAUCUUUCAGCAUCAAGAUUAAAAGAAUCCGAGGCAGUGUGGCUCCUGGGACUCGACAGUUUUCUCUCGUCAUUCAUCUGAACUCUGACCUACGCAGCUCCUUAAAUGAAACUCAUAGGCCUAACUCUGUGACACUUCAUUGUAUUUUUUUCGGUCAUUAAAGCUCUAUUUAAACUAACAUUAUUAUUAACAAGUAGACAGAAAAGCAUAGAAAUAAGCCAUCUUCAUAAUAAUCCACAGGUAAAAAUGCCCAGUAGAAUGAGAUAACACCAAGAGAUGAUCCUAUCGCAUUAAGGGCAAUGGGGAUCUCCCCCAUGCCAGUUCACACUGUGCCAGAUGCCAGAGAGAAAUGGCAAUGACAGAAAGGCAAAGACACAGCAGUAGCAAGAGACGUUUUGGGUUGGAGGCUCUCGGGGACUUGCUUAUCCUAGAUUCACCCACCAGAGUUUUCUUUCCUGGUAGACUGAUCCCCUGAAUUCAACUGCCAUCUGCUUAUCCUAUGACACAUUGGGAAAAUUGUUUUAUGAUCUUAUAAGAAUAAAGAUUGCAUUGAAUAUGAGAACAUACUAAG